GCCUUCUCCAGGUCGAUGAAAACCAUGUGGAGGUCCGUCUUUCACUCCCUAUACGUCUCCAUUAGUCUCCACACCAGGUAAAUUUCCUCCUCCGUCGAGCGGCAGUGCAUAAAUCCAAACUGAUUCUCCGAAAUAGACACACUCCUCCUCAACCUCCGCUCAACCACUUUCUCCCAAAUCUUCAUAGUGUGACUCAACAACUUAAUGCCCCUGUAGUUGUUGCAACUAUGAAUGUCAUAUAAAAAAGUAUGAUAAGUAUCUAGAAAAAUUCUUAUGCAUUUUCAUCUUCCCCACACGGAUUAUAAAGCUGAAACUGCCUCACUGACGGAUUAAAAGGGAAAGCUUAAGCCAACACCAUGUAUUUAGCUCAAAUCUGUCCAUUAGUGAAGUUAUGAAUUUCAUUUUAGACAUUUAUAAUUGUCUCACAAAUGCCAUGAAAUCGGAUUAUAGGAAGACUUCAUCAACUCCCCUUAGAACAAAUUGAGACAUUUGAUCCUCAGGUUGAGCUCAACAAGAAGCUGAUACCACUGACAAAGGACAUUAACUUAGAUGAUUUGAGUAAGCAUGAAAAAGAUUACUUGCCUCCCCUUCUAUGCUAUUUGGAAGAAAUCCCUCAUCACCUCUAACACCUGAUUCAUCCACCUAAAGUGCCUCAUUUUAUGUAGCUUGAGCAAGGGCUAAUUGAACCCUAUUUGAAUAUAUGUCAUCAGGUAACUUAGUUGCUAAAUCAAUUUGGACUUUCACCCUCGCACAACUAGGUCGGGCCUUGUUAAUAGUGGACAUAUCAAGAUGGAUGGGUUUUCCCAUAGUUUCUUCUAAUGAAAAAAGUGAUUCAUCACAAAAAAAGUAGGUAAAAGAUCAGGAAAUAAAAUCCAUGCCAUAACUUGUAUUGUAAUACAAUCCAAAUGGCCUCCAGAUUAUUAGAGAAGAGGCUUAUAGUUCAAGAGGCACUUGAAGGCUCAUUGGUUCUAUCCAAAAGGUGCUAAUUGAAUUAUUAUGAUGAUUGAGGAGGAACGAGAGAUAUUAAAGAGGCCAAAGAAAGGCAAAAUGAGGCUAGAAAGCCCCCGAAAGGAGAAUGCACCCCAUCUGCUUUGUAGGUGUGCCCAACCGACUCUAGAUCUGCUAGAGUGGGUCAAAAAUAACUCACAUGACUUGAAGAUGCAUCCCAUGUGUGCUUGGAUUGCCUAAGGGAAUUCUUAAUGGGCUUCUAUGCUUUGUCUUUCCCAAAUGGAUAAUUUUUUGGCCCAUAUGAUGUAAUAAUUAACCCUAGACUAUAAAUAUGUCUUUUCUUCCAUUUAGUUGUUAGACUUUGAUAAAUUAUGAAUGUAUACUUACACCCCAGAUUUUGGCCCUUAAAAUUUUUUUAACCUCUGAGCUCACUGCCCAGACUAAGACUUAUCAUAUGAGUUGUAGGACUGUAAUCGUAGCCUGACCAGUGUGUUUGGAAAAGUCUUUGUAUUGGUCAUGAUUAUCACCCAAUGAGUUGUCAAGACCCAUUACAAGUCAUAUAGCGGUUUUCGUAGCCUAACCAGUAAGGAUGCCUAAAUGUUUCUUCCAAUACAACAACUAGACCAUACGAGUCAUAAGGUCUGAGUAUGAGUUAUAAGGUACGAAUCAUAGUCAGACCAGUGUGCAUACCUAUGAUACUGACCAAACUCUGAGUCUAAGAAAUGACUCAUAUCCAGUCAUUAUGAGUCAUCAUGUGACCCGUAGCGAUUGUGUGGUUAAUUUUUAGUCUAUUUAUUAAAGACAUUCUGGUCAUUUCCCUUUUCCCCUACUUAGAUCCUACAACCAUAAAUCACCUUUGGGCAUUAUUUUCAAUACCUACCAGUCAUCAACACUCUCCUAAACUCUCUUAAAUCCCUAAGGCAUGAAUAAGCUAGGGUUUUAAGAAAUUGGUCUCUAGAACUUCCAAGGGUUAAUUUCUUUUCGUAAAUCGUAAUAUCUCAAGCAUGUUACUCUUCUCCAAAUCUUAUUUUGUGAAAAGAACGUAUUUUAAAUGGUUUAAUUGUAUGGAUUUUAAUGUGAGUUUUAACACGGGUUGAUGGUUUUGAAAUGGUUGAUCCUUGAAUUAUUUUCCCAUGGUUUUCAUGAGUUGUUCAUGCUUUGAAGUGGAUGUUUUUGAACUAAUAGGGUGCAUG